rnacentral:rRNA from 1 species
GGAUGCGAUCAUACCAGCACUAAAGCACCGGAUCCCAUUAGAACUCCGAAGUUAAGCGUGCUUGGGCGAGAGUAGUACUAGGAUGGGUGACCUCCUGGGAAGUCCUCGUGUUGCACUCC